AACAAGGAUUCCCCUAGUAACGGCGAGUGAAGCGGGAAGAGCUCAAAUUUGUAAUCUGGCACUUUCAGUGUCCGAGUUGUAAUCUCGAGAAGUGUUUUCCGCGCCGGACCGCAUACAAGUCUGUUGGAAUACAGCGUCAUAGUGGUGAGAACCCCGUAACUGAUGCGGAUGCCCGGUGCUUUGUGAUACACUUUCGAAGAGUCGAGUUGUUUGGGAAUGCAGCUCAAAUUGGGUGGUAAAUUCCAUCUAAAGCUAAAUAUUGGCGAGAGACCGAUAGCGAACAAGUACCGUGAGGGAAAGAUGAAAAGCACUUUGGAAAGAGAGUUAACAGUACGUGAAAUUGUUGGAAGGGAAACGAUUGAAGUCAGACUUGUUAUCUGGAGUUCAGCCUUUCGGUGUACUCUCCAGUUUACAGGCCAGCAUCAGUUUUCGGGGCGGGAAAAUCGUAAUCAGAAGGUAGCAGCCUAGCUGUGUUAUAGCUUUUUACUGGAUUCCGCUUUGGGGACUGAGGAACGCAGUGUGCUUUUAGCAAUACCCUCGGGUAUUUCACACUUAGGAUGCUGG
rnacentral:rRNA from 1 species